CAUAGAAUAGGUGUCUCAAUAGUGUCGGCAUGCUCCCAUUGGAAAGGGGGUGCUGCUGUUUGACAAUUUUUGAAACGUUCAUGAUUAUGUUUGGUUUUACUAGUUUAGUCAUUGCCAUUCUGACGUUUAAUCAAAAAAAAUAACCCACCCAUGAGUUUGGAAGCCUCGGGUGGAUUAUUUAUACGCAUACUAGCCGAUCCUAUUGAGAGACCGUCUAUUGCAGGACCGACAUGUUGCACCAUGUUCGG
rnacentral:sRNA from 1 species